GACGAACGCUGGCGGCGUGCUUAACAUAUGCAAGUCGAACGGAAAGGCCCUGCUUUUGUGGGGUGCUCGAGUGGCGAACGGGUGAGUAACACGUGAGUAACCUGCCCUUGACUUUGGGAUAACUUCAGGAAACUGGGGCUAAUACCGGAUAGGAGCUCCUGCUGCAUGGUGGGGGUUGGAAAGUUUCGGCGGUUGGGGAUGGACUCGCGGCUUAUCAGCUUGUUGGUGGGGUAGUGGCUUACCAAAGCUUUGACCGGUAGCCGGCCUGAGAGGGUGACCGGCAACAUUGGGACUGAGGUACGGCCCAGACUCCUACGGGAGGCAGCAGUGGGGAAUAUUGCACGAUGGGCGGAAGCCUGAUGCAGCAACGCAGCGUGCGGGAUGACGGCCUUCGGGUUGUAAACCGCUUUCGCCUGUGACGAAGCGUGAGUGACGGUAAUGGGUAAAGAAGCACCGGCUAACUACGUG
rnacentral:rRNA from 1 species